ACCCCAAAGAUAGAUCAGUUGGUAGAGCAUGAGACUCUUAAUUCCAGAGUCAUGGGUUCGAAUCCUAUGCUGGGCA